rnacentral:rRNA from 1 species
AAGUCGAGCGGACAGAUGGGAGCUUGCUCCCUGAUGUUAGCGGCGGACGGGUGAGUAACACGUGGGUAACCUGCCUGUAAGACUGGGAUAACUCCGGGAAACCGGGGCUAAUACCGGAUGCUUGAUUGAACCGCAUGGUUCAAUUAUAAAAGGUGGCUUUUACCUACCACUUACAGAUGGACCCGCGGCGCAUUACCUAGUUGGUGAGGUAACGGCUCACCAAGGCAACAAUGCGUACCCAACCUGAGAGGGUGAUCGGCCACACUGGGACUGAAACACGGCCCAAACUCCUACGGGAGGCAGCAUUAGGGAAUCUUCCGCAAUGGACAAAAGUCUGACGGACCAACGCCCCGUGAGUGAUGAAGGUUUUCGGAUCGUAAAACUCUGUUGUUAGGGAAAAACAAGUACCGUUCGAAUAGGGCGGUACCUUGACGGUACCUAACCAAAAAGCCACGGCUAACUACUUGCCAGCAGCCGCGGUAAUACUUAGGUGGCAAGCGUUGUCCGGAAUUAUUGGGCGUAAAGCGCGCGCAGGCGGUUUCUUAAGUCUGAUGUGAAAGCCCCCGGCUCAACCGGGGAGGGUCAUUGGAAACUGGGGAACUUGAGUGCAAAAAAGGAGAGUGGAAUUCCACGUGUAGCGGUGAAAUGCGUAGAGAUGUGGAGGAACACCAGUGGCGAAGGCGACUCUCUGGUCUGUAACUGACGCUGAGGCGCGAAAGCGUGGGGGAGCGAACAGGAUUAGAUACCCUGGUAGUCCACGCCGUAACGAUGAGUGCUAAGUGUUAGAGGGUUUCCGCCCUUUAUGCUGCAGCAACGCAUUAGCACUCCCCUGGGGAAUACGGUCGCAGGACUGAAACUCAAGGAAUUGACGGGG